UACGUAGGGUCCGAGCGUUGUCCGGAGUUACUGGGCGUAAAGCGCGCGCAGGCGGCGCGUCAAGCAUGGCGUGAAAGCCCCCGGCUCAACCGGGGAGGGUCGUCGUGGACUGGCGCGCUUGAGGGCGGUAGGGGCUGGUGGAAUUCCCGGUGUAGUGGUGAAAUGCGUAGAGAUCGGGAGGAACACCCGUGGCGAAGGCGGCCAGCUGGGCCGUCCCUGACGCUGAGGCGCGAAGGCGUGGGGAGCGAACGGG
rnacentral:rRNA from 1 species